rnacentral:lncRNA from 10 species
GACUGCUCCAGCCCCCGCGCUGGGGCUGGGAUGGGGACGCGACGCCCUCUGCUCUACCCCCGGCUCCCUGCGCCGGCGGGGACCGUGCGCUCUCCCCACAGCGUUAGUGGCAUCCCCUUCGUCGAGGUCCAAGAGCGGCUGUAUUUGGGGACUGCUGUUCGUGAGGGACCAUUAGAGGUAUUGCAUUUUGGAAAACGGCUGGCUUCCGCACCGUGGACACCUAAAGCCGACGCCGCUCUACCCAAACGCAGAAAUCACUUCACCUCUCCACUGCGUGCGCCUGUCUGCGAAGCGGGUGCGAGCGUCCAUCCAGUUAUUUGGCUCCUUGGCAAGAGGCCAACUUCGUUUCUGGCUAAGAUUCUGACUUGAAAACCGCGUUCUGGCCUCUUGUGACUUGAUGUCACCGGUAGACGUGGAAAUUUAUGUCCAGGGAAAGGAAUGCCCUGCAACUCUCCACAAUACGCCAAACACGGGGAUCAGUGUGUUGUGGAAGAAAGACUGCUAAGUGAGAGGAUGCCCGGAUAAGCCUCAGCUCUGCCUCGACCCAGGCACCUGGCCUUGCUUAAGUUUGUUUUGUUUUGUUUUGUUUUGUUUUGUUUUUUGAGACGAAGUUUCGCUCUUGUCGCCCAGGCUGGAGUGCAAUGCAAUGGCGCGAUCUCGGCUCACCGCAACCUCCGCCUCCCGGGUUCAAGCGAUUCUCCUGCCUCAACUUCCCGAGUAACUGGAUUACAGGCGGGCGCCACCACGCCAGGCUAAUUUUGUUUUGUUUUGUUUUUUAGACGUAGUCUCGCUCUGUCGCCCAGGCUGGAGUGCAGUGGCUCGAUCUCGGCUCGCUGCAAGCUCCGCCUCCCGGGCUCACGCCAUUCUCCUGCCUAAGCCUCCGGAGUAGCUGGGACUACAGGCGCCCACCACCACGCCCGGAUAAUUUUUUGUAUUUUUUUUAGUGGAGACGGUGUUUCACCGUGUUAGCCAGGAUGGUCUCGAUCUCCUGACCUCGUGAUCCACCCGCCUCGGCCUCCCAAAGUGCUGGGAUUACAGGCGUGAGCCACCGCGCCCGGCCUAAUUUUGUAUUUUUAGUAGAGACGGGGUUCCUUCAUGUUGGUCAGGCUGGUCUCGAAGUCCCGACCUCAAGUGAUCCUCCCGCCUCAGCCUCCCAAAGUGCAGGGAUUACAGGCGUGAGCCACCGCGCCUGGCCUCUUGUCUAAGUCUUAACCUCUGUGUGUUUCCUCCCUGUACCAUGUCAGAACUAGACGGUGUCUUUGUUCCACAAAACUGCUCCCAACCCGCGAACCGGAGAUUGCAUCUGCCUCUGGGUCUGAGUGCCAUUGGUAGAUCUGCAGUAUAAUACAAGAGAUCUUAUGGGCCAAAGUCUGGGGUAUUUUCUGUAGUAGCUGUGAAAUACUGCUGGUCCUAUGUCCUAGGCAAGGCCCUCAAAUGCCCCUAGCGAGACUGCCUUCCAACCAAAAGGAAUUGUUUGCUAGGCCACGUUUCUGUUGUCUUGGCAGACAGAAGCCCAGUAACAAGUCCCUAAAGAUAAAAUAGCAUCAGAAAUCCUUCCUAGGAUCGGAUGCGCAUCUCCUAUAGAUGCUGUUCUGAGAUCUUCAGGCAGCCACUAGUGAUAGGGUAAGAUAAAAGGCAGACAGGAGGCCGGACACGGUGGCUCACGCCUGUAAUCCCAGCACUUUGGGAGGCCAAGGCAGGCAGAUCACGAGGUCAGGAGAUAGAGACCAUCCUGGCCAAAAUGGUGAAAUCCUGUCUCUACUAAAAUACAAAAAAUUAGCCAGGCAUGGUGGCGCGCGCCUGUAGUCCCAGCUACUUGGGAGGCUGAGGCAGGGGAAUCAUUUGAACCUGGGAGGCGGAGAUUGCAGUGAGCCGAGAUUGCGCCACUGCACUCCAGCCUGGCAACAGAGUGAGACUCUGUCUCCAAUAAUAAAAAAAAAAAAAGGCAGAUGGAAAUCCUUGUGCGUAAUGAUUAAAGUAAAGGCCGGGCGCAGUGGCUCAAGCCUGUAAUCCCAGCACUUUGGGAGGCCGAGGCAGGCGGAUCACCUGAGGUCAGGAGUUCGAGACCAG